UACGUAGGCAGCAAGCGUUGUCCGGAAUUACUGGGCGUAAAGAGCGCGUAGGCGGCGCGGUACGACCGCUGUGAAAGCCCCCAGCUCAACUGGGGAGGGUCAGCGGUAACGGCCGUGCUAUGAGUGCAGGAGAGGGAAGUGGAACUCCGGGAGUAGCGGUGAAAUGCGUAGAGACCCGGAGGAACACCAGUGGCGAAGGCGGCUUCCUGGUCUGCGACUGACGCUGUGGCGCGAAAGCUAGGGGAGCAAACGGG
rnacentral:rRNA from 1 species